rnacentral:rRNA from 1 species
CCAUAUUACCCUGCAGCCCAAGACUGGUUGCCCACUGAAGCUAAGCAGGGUUGAGCUGGUCAGUACCUGUAUGGGAGACCUCCUGGGAAAUUUCACUUG